CAGCAGCCGCGGUAAUACGUAAGUCGCAAGCGUUAUCCGGAAUCAUUGGGCGUAAAGCGUCCGUAGGCGGUUUUAUCAGUCUUUGGUUAAAUCCUCUCGCUCAACGGGAGAAUCGUCAUAGAAACUAUAAAACUAGAGUAGUGCAGGGGCAGAUGGAAUUCCAGAAGUAGGGGUAAAAUCCGUAGAUCUCUGGAGGAACACCAAACGCGAAGGCAUUCUGCUGGGCACUUACUGACGCUAAGGGACGAAAGCAUGGGUAGCGAACGGGAUUAGAUACCCCGGUAGUCCAUGCCGUAAACGAUGGAUACUCGGUAUUGGGAGCUUCGACCCUCUCGGUGCCUAAGCAAACGCAUUAAGUAUCCCGCCUGGGUAGUACGGUCGCAAGAUUAAAACUCAAAGGAAUAGACGGGGACCUACACAAGCGGUGGAGCAUGUGGUUUAAUUCGAUAAUAAGCGGGAAACCUUACCAGGACUUGACAUCUCGGGAAUGCCGAAGAAACUCGGCAGUGCCUUUUUGGAACCCGAUGACAGGUGUUGCAUGGUUGUCGUCAGCUCGUGCCUUGAGGUGUUCUGUUAAGUCAGUAAACGAGCGCAACCCUAAUCGUAUGUUGUUUAUUUCAUGCGAGACUGCCGACUCCAAGUCGGAGGAAGGUUAGGACGACGUCAAAUCAGCAUGGCCCUUAUGUCCUGGGCUACACACGUGCUACAAUGGCCGAUACAAAGGGUAGCCAAAUCGUAAGAUGGAGCCAAUCCCAUCAAAAUCGGUCUAAGUUCGGAUUGAGGGCUGCAACUCGCCCUCAUGAAGUUGGAAUUGCUAGUAAUCGCAGAUCAGCUACGCUGCGGUGAAUGCGUUCUCGGGUCUUGUACACACCGCCCGUCACAUCACGAAAGUUGGUGGCACCAGAAGUCAUGUAUCUAACCUGCUUGCAGGAGGAGAGUGCCGAAGGUGUUGCUGAUGAUUGGGGUGAAGUCGUAACAAGGUAGCCGUA
rnacentral:rRNA from 1 species